rnacentral:rRNA from 1 species
UACAGAGGGGGCAAGCGUUGUUCGGAAUUACUGGGCGUAAAGGGCGCGUAGGCGGCCUGUUAAGUCGAACGUGAAAUCCCUAGGCUCAACCUAGGAACUGCGUCCGAUACUGGCAGGCUUGAAUCCGGGAGAGGGAUGCGGAAUUCCAGGUGUGAGCGGUGAAAUGCGUAGAGUAUCUGGAGGAACACCGGUGGCGAAGGCGGCAUCCUGGACCGGCAUUGACGCUGAGGCGCGAAAGCCAGGGGAGCAAACGGGG